UACGUAGGGACCGAGCGUUGUCCGGAAUCAUUGGGCGUAAAGAGCGUGUAGGCGGCUUGUUAAGUCUUGCGUGAAAUCUCGGGGCUCAACCCCGAGCGGUCGUGAGAAACUGGCAGGCUAGAGUGCGGGAGAGGAGAGUGGAAUUCCUGGUGUAGCGGUGAAAUGCGCAGAUAUCAGGAGGAACACCAAUGGCGAAGGCAGCUCACUGGGACGGUAUUGACGCUGAGACGCGAAAGCGUGGGGAGCAAACAGG
rnacentral:rRNA from 1 species